rnacentral:misc_RNA from 1 species
AGGAAUUAGACCCAAUAACCUGACUUCUAGCUUGAUACGUUGGCAGAUUAUUGGUUUUAGCAGCAAAAAUCUUAGGCUCAAUAAUUCCUGAAGCCAUUUGUCUCUCUUAUUGUAUAACCAGAGAAAACACUAUUAAUUGAAGGUGAGGGUUCAAUUAGCAUAAUCUGUGUCCUAACUGUGGUAAUUGGUCAUUCUAGCCUUUCAAAAUCCUAAUAACAUGGUCAUUUCACAGUAGUAAUGACUCCACAUCAACACUGAAUAGCACAUGAAUAUUGCGGUAUUGGCCCGAAAUUCUCCAACUCAUCCCCCAAAAUUAUCAACUGAGUAAAGUAAUCAGUUAUAGGAAAAAUAUCGCCUUGAGAAAACCCGUCUCGAAGAUCAUUCCAAACCUCAGUUGCUGUAUCAAUCGACAAGAUGCUUUGUGCAAUUGAAACCCUGCAAUCAGCUCUGCUUCUUGACCUUCUCUAUCUCUAGUAAUACAAAGCGUGUUUUGCAAUCAAAGAAGGGA